UUUUUUCAGCACACACUUUAACUACCAUGCCAGUAUUAAUGAACUAGCACUAACACAUUAGUGCUCUUAUGUACUUCGUGCAUUACUGCUAGCCCCCAUGAAUAAUAUGUU
rfam:Pan troglodytes isolate Yerkes chimp pedigree #C0471 (Clint) chromosome 2B, whole genome shotgun sequence.